rnacentral:piRNA from 1 species
UGGAGUUCAGGUAUUAAUCUUUCUGUUGGGU